GGGUCCGUGGGGUAGCUUGGUUUGGGUGCGGAGACCGCGCCUCGCGUGCUGGCGACUCCGGUUCAAAUCCGGACGGACCCA
rnacentral:tRNA from 1 species